rnacentral:rRNA from 1 species
UACGUAGGGGGCAAGCGUUGUCCGGAUUUAUUGGGCGUAAAGAGCGUGUAGGCGGCUUGGUAGGUCUGCUGUGAAAACUCGGGGGCUCAACCCCGAGACGUCGUGGAAACCACCUGGCUAGAGUCCGGAAGAGGAGAGUGGAAUUCCUGGUGUAGCGGUGAAAUGCGCAGAUAUCAGGAAGAAUAUCCGUGGCGAAGGCG